rnacentral:rRNA from 1 species
AGCCAUGGGCAGGUUGAAGGUUGGGUAACACUAACUGGAGGACCGAACCGACUAAUGUUGAAAAAUUAGCGGAUGACUUGUGGCUGGGGGUGAAAGGCCAAUCAAACCGGGAGAUAGCUGGUUCUCCCCGAAAGCUAUUUAGGUAGCGCCUCGUGAAUUCAUCUCCGGGGGUAGAGCACUGUUUCGGCAAGGGGGUCAUCCCGACUUACCAACCCGAUGCAAACUGCGAAUACCGGAGAAUGUUAUCACGGGAGACACACGGCGGGUGCUAACGUCCGUCGUGAAGAGGGAAACAACCCAGACCGCCAGCUAAGGUCCCAAAGUCAUGGUUAAGUGGGAAACGAUGUGGGAAGGCCCAGACAGCCAGGAUGUUGGCUUAGAAGCAGCCAUCAUUUAAAGAAAGCGUAAUAGCUCACUGGUCGAGUCGGCCUGCGCGGAAGAUGUAACGGGGCUAAACCAUGCACCGAAGCUGCGGCAGCGACGCUUAUGCGUUGUUGGGUAGGGGAGCGUUCUGUAAGCCUGCGAAGGUGUGCUGUGAGG